AUUGAACGCUGGCGGCAGGCCUAACACAUGCAAGUCGAGCGGAGCGGCGGGCGGGUGAGUAAUGCCUAGCAAUCUGCCUGGUAGUUGGGGAUGACGUCCGGCAACGGGCGCUAAUACAGCACACUAUCAAAUGAGCCUAGGUCGGAUUAGCUAGUUGGUGGGGUAAAGGCCUACCAAGGCGACGAUCCGUACCUGGUCUGAGAGGAUGAUCAGGCACACUGGAACUGAGACACGGUCCAGACUCCUACGGGAGGCAGCAGUGGGGAAUAUUGGACAAUGGGCGAAAGCCUGAUGCAGCCAUGCCGCGUGUGUGAAGAAGGCCUUCGGAUUGUAAAGCACUUUAAGUUGGGAGGCGUUACCAGCAGAAGAAGCACCGGCUAACUUCGUGCCAGCAGCCGCGGUAAUAC
rnacentral:rRNA from 1 species